rnacentral:rRNA from 1 species
UAAUUGAAGAGUUUGAUCAUGGCUCAGAUUGAACGCUGGCGGCAGGCCUAACACAUGCAAGUCGGGCGGUAACAGGGAGAAGCUUGCUUCUCUGCUGACGAGCGGCGGACGGGUGAGUAAUGUAUGGGGAUCUGCCUGAUGGCGGGGGAUAACUACUGGAAACGGUAGCUAAUACCGCAUAAUGUCUUCGGACCAAAGC